ensembl:lncRNA
UUGGGAUUCACCCUGUAGGAGUGCUUUUGUUCUGAAACGUUGAAUUGAAGGCUCACUCGCCGCUGCGAGAACCUAAGAUGCUUAUCGCGAAGAGGAGGCAAAUAAAAUGCUGCCAUCUCAGCAUCAGAUAAAACAGAGCCAAAGUCUGGGAACCAUCACAUGCCUCCAACACUCCCACUCCAUCAUAUAAAAACACGGUGUGCGCACGAGCGAGCGCGCGCACACCGAGUAGGGGGCUACACACAAAAGGCGCACAUGCUCACACGCAAAACAGCGCCGUGCUCUUUGUAUCUGCCAACUGAUGCAGAUGAUAGGGCUGCAGAUGAGUGCCGGCUAACCAGAGACUAGCGGGUACACGUGGCUUCAGAGACAAUGGCAGGCCGUAGCCUCGGGAGGAGAACUUUCAACCCUUAGAAACAUGCCGAGGGAGGAAUUUAAACACAAUUGUGUUUUAUUACGUGGCG